UGAAUACGAGAUGCUACGGCGUCGAAGCAGUCUAUGUCAUACUUCCAAGAGAAGCUUGCACUGUCAUAAACAAAUAAUGCCUGUACCAUAACCGACACAGGUGGGUAGGUAGAGUAUACUAAGGGGCGCGAGAUAACUCUCUCUAAGGAACUCGGCAAAAUGACUCCGUAACUUCGGGAGAAGGAGUGCCUUAUUUAUAAGGUUGCAAUAACAAGAUCCAAGCAACUGUUUACCAAAAACACAGGUCUCCGCUAAGUCGUAAGGCGAUGUAUGGGGGCUGACGCCUGCCCAGUGCCAGAAGGUUAAAGAAGUUGGUUAGCAUCCGCAAGCUGAUAACUGAAGCCCUGGUGAACGGCGGCCGUAACGAUAACGGUCCUAAGGUAGCGAAAUUCCUUGUCGGGUAAGUUCCGACCCGCACGAAAGGCGUAAUGAUUUGGAUACUGUCUCGGAGAGGGGCUCGGUGAAAUAGACUUGUCUGUGAAGAUGCGGACUACCUGCACCAGGACAGAAAGACCCUAUGAAGCUUUACUGUAACCUGAAAUUGAAAUUGGACUUUACUUGCGCAGUAUAGGUGGGAGGCGUUGAGAAUAUUCUUGCGGGAUUAUUGGAGCCAUCAGUGAGAUACCACUCUUGUAAUGUUAGAUUUCUAACUUUGUAUCAUUAUCUGGUUAAAGAACAGUUUCAGGCGGGCAGUUUGACUGGGGCGGUCGCCUCCUAAACGGUAACGGAGGCGCACAAAGGUCUCCUCUGAACGGGUAGAAAUCGUAUCUAGAGUGUAAAGGCAUAAGGAAGCUUGACUGUGAGACCUACAAGUCGAGCAGGGACGAAAGUCGGUCUUAGUGAUCUGACGGUGCUGAGUGGAAAGGCCGUCACUCAACGGAUAAAAGUUACUCUAGGAUAACAGGCUGAUCUCCCCCAAGAGUUCACAUCGACGGGGAGGUUUGGCACCUCGAUGUCGGCUCAUCGCAUCCUGGGGCGGUAGUACGUCCCAAGGGUUGGGCUGUUCGCCCAUGAAAGCGGUACGCGAGCUGGGUUCAGAACGUCGUGAGACAGUUCGGUCCAUAUCCGGUGUAGGCGUUAGAAUAUUGAGAGGAGCCUUCUUUAGUACGAGAGGACCGAGAAGGACAUACCUCUGGUGUACCAGUUAUCGUGCCAACGGUAAACGCUGGGUAGCUAUGUGUGGAGUGGAUAACCGCUGAAAGCAUCUAAGUGGGAAGCCCACCUCGAGAUAAGUAUUCUC
rnacentral:rRNA from 1 species